rnacentral:lncRNA from 1 species
AUGGUGAACGUGCCUAAGACCCGCCGGACAUUCUCCAAGAAAUGUGGGAAGCACCCGGCCCACAAGGUGACACAGUACAAGAAGGGCAAGGACUCUUUUUAUGCCCAGGGAAAGCGGCGUAUGUUAUGACAGGAAACAGAGUGGCUAUGGUAAAAAGGCUAAAACUACAAAGAAGAUUGUGCUGAGACUGGAGUGUGUUGAGCCCAACUGCAGAUCUAAGAGGAUGCUGGCUAUUAAGAGAUGCAAGCAUUUUGAACUGGGAGGCGACAAGAAGAGAAAGGGCCAGGUGAUCCAGUUCUAA